GACUUUGAUAUGCUCUCUGUGCCUGGAUUGGACCAUCACCAAGACCAGCAAUGACUCCCUCUUAAAGGCAAACAAACAAUGUCAUGCUACCAAUGUUUUGAGUUCAAAACUCAGGCAGUCUACCUUCCCUGUCUGGAGCCUCCUUCAACUCUCUUGAAUAGGACUUUGGCAGAAGAUCAGAACAGCUGAGUCAUCUUCAAGGAGGAGUUUUAUCACCACAUACACUCUAAGCCUUCCUCCAGUGGAAAAAUACCCAGUGCUUUCUGCAGCAGUCCUGAGUGCAGGGGUGGGAGAGCGGGGGCUUGAGUGAUGGUGGUGGCUUCCUUCUUGUCCCCAAGCCCCAAAUAAAUAAGUCCCUUUCCCUUUGCUAUACCUGAAGUGAAGGGGAGCCAGGUCUGCGGUGGCUUGGCUCCAGGCUACAGGGCACCAACACAGGAGCCUCCAAAUUUGUCUCAGUCUUGCCUGAGAAGCAUCAUUCACCAGCCAGGCUUCCUAUCCAGUCCUCUCCUGGCCCCUGCAGAGAAAUGGGAGCUCUGGGAAGAACAUGCUCUGCUAAGAAUAUAAGCCCUUGUAGGUCAUGAAGAAGAUGUGAGUGAGGUUCUCAUCUCCCUCAUGAAGACUCGAAGCCCCAGUGCUCAGGCCCUCAUCUUCAAAUUGAAAUCUCUUGCCUGGCCCUCUUGCCUGAAAUCCAGACUCCUAACAGCCGUCUCCUUGAAUCCUCCACUGGAUCGUCUAAAAGGCGUUUCAAACUUAACAAGACCACCACCUCCUAAUUCCUCGGCCCACCUCAUGGAAACCUUCCUCUCAUCAUGCUUAGCUUGUAAGUCUAUCCCAUUGGCAUCUCAAGAGGAACUGUGAACAGAGGCUCCUGGGUCCUCUGUGGAGACAUGUACCACAGGUCCUGUAGUGUGAGACUUAAAAUGAACAUAAUGCCCUUCCUUCAAAUCUGAUGAAAUAAGGAGAGUCUCUAAUGGCCUCACUUUGCUACAGGGAAAAGGUCCUCUUCAACUUCCGAAAGUGGAUUAAAUGGACCAAAUGCAGUUCCUGCUUCUCCUGAAUGGAGCAAGCCUGGCUCACAGAUGGGACAGACCAGAGUGCUGGGGAGAUAAUGCCUCCAGGAACAGACUGCAACCAGUAAAGGAUGGGAGUCAUUGAAUAAAUAUCCCAGGAAACUGGUUACACGGCUUCUUCGAUGCCCUGGAAGCACCGAGCUCUAAUUCCCCAGGGUGGUAACCUGUUUGUGAAAGCACCCUUUACUAGCUUCCAGCCAUCGUCUCACCCCUCAUCACCCACAGACCUAUUUAACUAUCUCUCCUUCCUGGUACCUCUGCAGUCACCUCUCGAGUUACUUAAUUCUAGUCCUU
ensembl:lncRNA